rnacentral:misc_RNA from 1 species
CUUCAUUGGUGGGACAGUCGGUUGUUGGAAUGAGCAAGGUGCUGCCCAAGUUUAUGAGCUCUUCUAGGAUGAGGGAGGAGUUUGGGAGCAUUGAAAUGAGGCUGGACAAGGUAGAAGGUCACUUGAGCCGUGAGCAGGCGAUAGUGGACAGGAUAGAAGACCACUUGAUCCGCGGGGAUGACAGAUUUGAGGAGCUAGGGAGCCGAGUAAGUGAACUUGGUGAAGGGUUAGAGGAGAC